rnacentral:lncRNA from 1 species
UAAAGCUACUGGGCAGAGUGUGCAUGGUUUUUUUUUGUUUGUUUGUUUGUUUGGUUUGGGUUGUUUGGUUUUUCUUUUUCCUUUUACCUAUUAGUGUGCUUGGUUUUUUUUUUUUUUUGGUUUUUUUUUAUUCAAACAGUUAGAAAUUUUUUUCCUGCCUCUUUUUCAUGUACAAGCCUGUUUUUAAAUGUUAGUUUUCUUCACACUUCUCCAUGGCCCAAGGAAGAGGAUGCAGAAGGAUGGAUUUUCUAUAAUACAGAGCAAUACUGUGCAAUACGGAGGAGUGAUAAAGGCAGAUAUGAGGAUGGAAGCUUCAGUGUUGCAAAUGUCUAUAAACAAUCAAGUGAAACCUCCCUCCAUCUCUCUCUCACCCAGCCACACAGACUGGGGUUACUCAUACUCAAAUGAAGAUGGUGAACUGUUACAAAAUUGGGCAUCCAGCCAUGACCUUCCCCUGAUCCACAACUCUAAACAGCAUGGCACUUUCCACUCACCAAGACAGGACCAAGAUUACUUCCCUGACAUAUGUUGGGUUAAUCAGUCAACAGCUACCCAGAACCAGCAUUUUGCAUUGUUCUAGAUGACUUUCCACACAGUGAACACCAUCCAUCAGUCACCCACAUUGGCCUGUAAUUGCUGGUCAUUAAAUGUAUAAGAAAACCAGAUGGAGCUACAGGAAAGCUAGUUGGUCUCUAUUCCUCUAGACUAUUCAGUGAUCCAUUGUCACCAUCCCAUGCAAAAAUAUCCCAUUUGAUGAAGCCUGUAAGUAUUUCAUGGUGCCCUCUAUAAAGCAGCACAAUCCUCUGUUCCCAAAGUAUUUUGUCCCCUGUACACUCCUUGCUUGGAUGAAAUGUGCUGGUCUAAAUGAGUAUGAAAAAUCUGGUGAUCCAGAUGUUGCAGAUGACCUGCUUGAAUAGCUUGAUGCUGCUCAUUGGAAGCACGGGGAGGACUUGACUUCAAGACUUAAUUUUUGCCACUCCAUUUGGAGGACCUGGGGCCUCAUUUACCACCUGGGAGUGGCUCAGGAUCCCCUAGCCCAAACUUAAUCAUUUGUGUCAGCCAAUGCCAUCACCAAACACCUUUUGAAAGGGGAAAGAGGCCCCCGUAACAAGGAUUUUGAGUGAAUAAUGCAUAAGGAAUGGUGUUAUUUUCAUCAAAAUGUUCAGAACCAAGAUCCACAAACCUCUUCACCAACAAAACUCUGUGCUGUGCAAAUUAGAAUCCAGCACUGCAACUGUCUAUGACAAUGUGUACUCAGAGUAUCUGAAACAUCUCAUUCCUCAAGCUUGUAAUUGUCUUCUACUUUUCUUUAACUAUGUUAUACAUGAAGGAUGAAUUCUAUCAGUAUGUCACUGAGAAAAAAUCAUUGGCCUACCCAAGCCUUGCAAAGACCCACAAUUGGCAGCAAGUUACCGACCAAUCUCCAUCCUGAGCAUCUGCUACAAGACACUUGAGAGACUUAUUUGUGUAUGCUGAUGACAGUGCCUUUGCCAUUCAAGCUCAAGUGUGGAACUCAUGCUUGAUGGAGACAUGAGACUGAUGUCAAAGUAUUGCCUAAAAUGGUGCCUCAAACCAAAUAUUUCAGACUGUGUUAAGUAUUUUUCUUCUGCAUAAUGCCAAUGCCAAUCAUAAACUCACUAUCACUUUAAAUGGUCAGCCUCUCAAAUUUGAAACUGACCCAGUUUAUCUUGGAGUCAACCUUGCCCGGACUUUAACUUAUAAAUCACAUCUCCAGAAAACUGCUUUAAAAAUCAAAGCAAAGAAUAAUCUACUUGCCAAACUUGCAGGCUCCACUUGUGGUGCCAAUGCCUCCAUGCUACGUUCAUUUGUCCUCGUACUGUGCUAUUCAGUUGCAUACUAUUGUGCCCCUGUAUAGGCUCAUUUGUCACACAGCAAACUGGUGGACACCUAGCUGCAUGCUACAAUGCGUCUUGUGUCAGGCAUUUUGCAUCCCCCCUCCACUCCCAUUGUUAGCAGUCCUCAGUAAUGUUGCUCCCCCUCAUCUCCACUGCACAAAUGCUGUAUUAAACUUACUAACCACACUCCAUGAUAAUCCAAUGCUGCCAGUGGACCUGGACAUAUUCUAUCCACCAAUAGCUUGGCUCUCCUCAAGAUGCCUACCCUUUCAAAGUCUUUUGACUUUUCCUUAGGUACUUGGUGGUACAAAAAAUGGUCAGAACAAGCACCAAAAAUCACCAUAUCACCUCUGAUCCUCCAGUCAGUCAACCAGAAUUUAACUGGCCAUGCCAUUAUUUGGCUGCCUUAACUGUUUUUGAAUUGGACAGGGUCACUGUGCCUCAAACCUAUACAAAUGGGGCCCUUGGAAUGAUAAAAAAUGCCCUUGUGGACAAGUUCAAACCAUUUCUGAAAUAAUUGACUCAUGUCCAUUUACAGUGCUACCUGGUUGCCUUCAGGCUCUUCACACUGGUGAUGAAAUCACCUUAAGGUGGCUGAAACAAUAUGCUGAAAAUACAUAUUCUAAAUUAAUUAUAAAAAGAGUAGGGACUAUGUUGUGAUUGUACAAAACUGUUUCACAUAAAGAUCAAAAUAGAUAAAACGUUGAGGAGUAUAAUAGUCUUGUAGACAUUUAUCAUUUCUUGGAGGGGAAAAAGGUGCAUAUCAUAGCUAUACUGCUAAAUUGUGUUGAGAGGCGAUUGUAAAGGGAUCCAGAUCAAGCAGCUGUACUGGGAUGGGGCCUGUUCACUGUAUGCUCAGCAGGUGUCUCACUUUCUUGCUUUCAAAUCUCACCUGCCAUGUCUUGAUGUAGUUGAAAUAAAGUAUAAGGAGGUAGCA